rnacentral:rRNA from 1 species
UAAUACGUAGGGUGCAAGCGUUAAUCGGAAUUACUGGGCGUAAAGCGUGCGCAGGCGGUUGUGCAAGACAGAUGUGAAAUCCCCGGGCUCAACCUGGGAAUUGCAUUUGUGACUGCACGGCUAGAGUGUGUCAGAGGGGGGUAGAAUUCCACGUGUAGCAGUGAAAUGCGUAGAGAUGUGGAGGAAUACCGAUGGCGAAGGCAGCCCCCUGGGAUAACACUGACGCUCAUGCACGAAAGCGUGGGGAGCAAACAGGAUUAGAUACCCUGGUAGUCCACGCCCUAAACGAUGUCUACUAGUUGUCGGGUCUUAAUUGACUUGGUAACGCAGCUAACGCGUGAAGUAGACCGCCUGGGGAGUACGGUCGCAAGAUUA